rnacentral:rRNA from 1 species
UACGAGGGGGUGCAAGCGUUGCUCGGAAUUAUUGGGGCGUAAAGGGUAGGUAGGUGGUCUCGUUUGUCUGGGGUGAAAGCCUUGAGCUUAACUCAAGAAGUGCCCUAGAAACGGCGAGACUAGAGUCUUGGAGAGGGUCGUGGAAUUCCCGGUGUAGCGGUGAAAUGCGUAGAGAUCGGGAGGAACACCAGGGAGCGAAGGCGGCGACCUGGACAAGUACUGACACUCCAACACGAAAGCGUGGGGAGCAAACAGG